ACUAUUUUGGCAAAAAAAUGUAAUGAUUUUAGAAUUCAUUAAUAUAUAAUUUAAAUUAUAUAGAUAGUA
rnacentral:tRNA from 1 species